GAACUGAUGCCUUUCUGGGGGAAGAGCCUAUUUUCCAUCUGGGAAAGUGCCUCUUUGUGUGGUGUGAGGAAACAGCAGUCCAUAGUACCUCAGGCAGCUUGUGAGGACCAGGCUUCUUAGCAGAUCAAGUUUUCACUCCACAGACCUGCCUUUCUGUCAAGGAACCCCUCCAGAGUGGAGCCCCACCCUUCCCAGCUUGGGUUGAUUCGUUGCGUGAUUCUGCAGGUGGAUUAGCAGGAAUAAUGGACUUAAUAGCCACCACCUAUGUGCAAGGGUCUUUGGGACUGCGUUGGACUGAUUGAAGUGCCUACCUCAAUCGGCAAAUGCAAAUUGCAAUCAAGAAAAGAAUCCAGAACUCAGGGCAAGAGAUGCAGAGACAAACAUCAGAACAGAGACAUGAGGCAAAACCAGGUAUAAGAAAUCAUUCAAGAAAGAAAAGAGAAAUCAUUCCGUGUCAGAAGCCAAUAUCAUCAGAAGCAGCUCAUAUAUACUGUGUCGUUUUUCCCAAGGAAGGAACCAUGAAGGAAGGGGAAUGUCUGCUUGGGAUUGGAGCUCUUGAUAUUCCUGUCCCUUCUCAUGUUUAAGGUCCUGGGACUAAGAUCUGAGACUGCAGUCCGGGCCUCAGGAAACCUCUCAAUAUGUGGAUGCAGUCCCCACCAUGUGUCCUAAUUGUCUUGCUCUGGUGACCCUCGUUACCUCUCUGCCUCUUCACUUAGAUUCUUCAGGUCAGUUGUCCAGCUGGACUUUCUAUGUGGCUUUGUGCAUAAUAAACAUGGUUUGUGU